rnacentral:tRNA from 1 species
GCCGAAAUAGCUCAGUUGGGAGUGCGUUAGACUGAAGAUCUAAAGGUCCUUGGUUCAAUCCGGGGUUUCAGUG